GUGCUCGCUUUGGCAGCACAUAUGCUAAAAUUGGAAUGAUACAAAGAUUAGCAUGGCCCCUGCGCAAAGAUGACACACAAAUUCACGAAGCAUUCCAUAUUUUU
rnacentral:snRNA from 1 species